rnacentral:rRNA from 1 species
UGAGGAAUAUUGGUCAAUGGGCGAGAGCCUGAACCAGCCAAGUCGCGUGAGGGAAGACGGUCCUAUGGAUUGUAAACCUCUUUUGCCGGGGAGCAAAGAGCGGCACGUGUGCCGCGGGCCGAGAGUACCCGGAGAAAAAGCAUCGGCUAACUCCGUGCC